rnacentral:rRNA from 1 species
GCGCAGCAGGCGCGAAUACUUUACAAUGUGCGAAAGCACGAUAAGGGAACUCUGAGUGCCUCCUAAGGAGGCUGUUCAGGUGUCUAAAAGGCACCUGAAGGAAGGGCUGGGUAAGACCGGUGCCAGCCGCCGCGGUAACACCGGCAGCCCAAGUGGUAGCCACGUUUAUUGGGUCUAAAGCGUCCGUAGCCGGCUGGGUAAGUUCCUUGGGAAAUUUGGCUGCUUAACAGUCAAGCUUUCAGGGAAUACUGCCCGGCUUGGGGACCGGGAGAGGUCAGAGGUACUCCAGGGGUAGGGGUGAAAUCCAUUAAUCCUUGGGGGACCACCGGUAGCGAAGGCGUCUGACCAGACCGGGUCCGACGGUGAGGGACGAAGGCUAGGGGCGCGAACCGGAUUAGAUACCCC